GCUUAACACAUGCAAGUCGAACGAUGAAGGGGAGCUUGCUUCCUGGAUUAGUGGCGAACGGGUGAGUAACACGUGAGUAACCUGCCCUUGACUCUGGGAUAAGCGCUGGAAACGGCGUCUAAUACCGGAUACGACCUACCCCGGCAUCGGGUGUAGGUGGAAAGUUUUUCGGUCAAGGAUGGACUCGCGGCCUAUCAGCUUGUUGGUGAGGUAAUGGCUCACCAAGGCGACGACGGGUAGCCGGCCUGAGAGGGUGACCGGCCACACUGGGACUGAGACACGGCCCAGACUCCUACGGGAGGCAGCAGUGGGGAAUAUUGCACAAUGGGCGAAAGCCUGAUGCAGCAACGCCGCGUGAGGGAUGACGGCCUUCGGGUUGUAAACCUCUUUUAGUAGGGAAGAAGGACUUCGGUUUGACGGUACCUGCAGAAAAAGCACCGGCUAACUACGUGCCAGCAGCCGCGGUAAUACGUAGGGUGCAAGCGUUGUCCGGAAUUAUUGGGCGUAAAGAGCUCGUAGGCGGUUUGUCGCGUCUGCUGUGAAAACCCGAGGCUCAACCUCGGGCCUGCAGUGGGUACGGGCAGACUAGAGUGCGGUAGGGGAGAAUGGAAUUCCUGGUGUAGCGGUGGAAUGCGCAGAUAUCAGGAGGAACACCGAUGGCGAAGGCAGUUCUCUGGGCCGUAACUGACGCUGAGGAGCGAAAGCGUGGGGAGCGAACAGGAUUAGAUACCCUGGUAGUCCACGCCGUAAACGUUGGGCGCUAGAUGUGGGGACCUUUCC
rnacentral:rRNA from 1 species